rnacentral:lncRNA from 1 species
CUUGGACUAACAUUUUAAAAAAAUAGCUUGGAGAAAGAUUAAGAAAUUGGGAGUAAAAUUAGAAAAUGGGGAAGAAUAACAUCAAAGAUUCACUUUGAGUCUCUGAUAUGCAACUAACUACAGGCAAGUGGCAAAAAUGUACCAAGGACACAAAACACGCCAAAGUAUUCACAUUAAUGAAUCGUUUUGAAGGCUCAUCUAGUAACAAAUUAGAGUGUUUCUGAGUCAUUUAGGCAUAACCAAUUUAGCAGUUGACGUUUUAAAACUAUCAUGUGCACAUCACCACAUUAUGCAAAAAACCAGCCCUUUCAAAACGUGUGGUAGAAAAAUUCACAGUAACAGAAAUAUUCUUCAUGAGCAGUUGAGAAGGGGCAGUGUGGAGCAUCUAAGUUGUACAAUACAAAAACCAUUGUAAGUAACAGAGCUGUAAAACAGAUGCAAGUUCUAAAAACAGUGCUUUCUUUACAGUUCUUUUAAUGGGUGAACACUUUGGCCAGAGAACUUUAAACUCUGAGGAUCACACAAGCCUUUGCUUAAGAUACACAAUUAGAUCCUCUAAUGUUUCAAAGGCCAUUUGCUACAAGAUUAACCUGUUUGUUCUACUUUCUAGAAGUGUUCCCAUCAAGAAGUCAUUAUGAAGGGAUCCAUCUGAUGACACUAUCCCACAAAACAUUACAUGUUCAACCAUUGCUAAUGACAGAGGUAGAGAAAAUUCUGUCUUCUGUCACAGCUUGUACCCUCAUUUUUAGCAUUGCGUUGAGUGGGUUCCAGCAGUGAAGACACAUGCACUUUCCUUUCCACCAGCUUGCUCAUGGAAACAAAUUUGUUCCAGCAUGCUCUUGUAGUCUGAAAACAUCCAGCAGCUGCUCCAGUCGGUCAAAGUCAGAUGUCAGCUUUCUUGCUUUGCUGCCUCCCCUUGGGCCUCCCCAGUUUGCUCACUUGGAUUUCGUUGUGCAUCUCCUUCUCCUUCUGCUUUAUUUAUAUCCAGCUCUGAUAGCUUUAAGGCUAGUUCACUAGAGUUCCCACCCGGAGAAGACACAAGUAUGUCGUGUAGUGCAUUUCUUCUACCUGUUCUUCCUGAAGCAAUAAAGUCUGCAUAUGUAGAUUCCACAUCAGUCAUUGCUAACAAAUAUCCACAUAGCAGUACCUUCCCAGCAGCCGGCUCAGCGCAUCUUCCUUCCUCCCGCCCUUCUUCCCCUCCCAGAGCCGCGGGCCCGUCGGCGCCGUGCCCAACGCUGCGCUUGCCUCAACCAGCAGCAGCUCCCACGAACGCUUCACCCCCACAUCGCGCCGGCAGCUGCUGCUCCUAAAUUCACGGCGCUCCGGCGGCAUGAAGUCAUUCUCCCCGCCCCCUCCACGGGCCGCCACACUCCGCUCCCGCCGCGGAGGGGGAGGCCGCCCCCCCCGGUUCUGCCGCCCGCGCCCCGCGGGUCCCUCCCGCUCUCUCCCACCCGAGGGCCGGCGCUCUCGCAGCGCUGCGAGCGCCGCAAUGUCCGGCGGCACGCGGGAGGGCGGCACGUUCCCCCACACCGACGACGGGCUGUGGUCGGGGGUCCCACCCCGGGCCCGGCGCGCGAUGGGCCGCUCCGCCCCGCUCCUGCCCGCCCCUCGCGGGAGUCCCUCAGCGCGUUGCGGGGCGCUCCCGCUCCGAGCGCGGCCCCCGCGCUCCUCCCCGCGGCUCGGCCGCGCCGUACCAGCGAAGCGCGGGGUCCCGGAGCCGAGGGGCGGCCUCCCGCGGGGAGAGCGGUGCUGUGCGCUCGUGUGUCUGUUCGGAAGGAAAUCCCGUUGUAAUUCGUGCCUGCGUGUGGGCGCCCGGCUCCCCCCGCUCCUCCCGCCGCCUCGGGGCGCGCAGGCGCCGCGCGGCUGUGCCCCCAAAUGCGGCUGUGUGGGACGGAGGGGUUCUGUGUCGGGGGCUCCCGCUCUCUGCCUGUGGGGGAAGAAGGGCAGCGCAUCAGGGUCACCGGGAUGCGCGGGUACCGUAGCUGGCGUGUACUGAUAUUUUUAAGAGCCGCCAGUGGGCGACGAGGCUGUUUUUGUUAUUUAUAGAGCGCUGUGCGUGUCCUGGGUGACCGACCCGUUGGUGAGGAAAGCUGGAUUCCUGUCACAGCCCGCUCCCGUGUACAGGAUGAGCGCAGUUGUGUUGCUGCACAAAUAACAGAGGGCAGCCCGGGCCGGGCGAGUGGCCAAGUCACCCUGAUCCCAGAGCAAUUCGUGUUCCGUAAGCAAAGCCGAUGUGGAGAAAUUGUGAUGGGACAGCUCCCAGGAACGCGACGCUUUGAGCACAGGUGUCCCCAGGGCACUUUGUUCUGUGGAGCGGGUAUGGGGCGGGAGGUUGGGACGAGUUGGGAACACCGCAGGUUUCGUGGUGGUGAAGUCUGCAGUGGGAGCAGAGCUCCUGAAGGAGUUGCUUCAGUGGCCUGGGACUGCUGGGAAGGUCCUCUAUAGUGGCCGAGGAAAGCAGGGAAGGGGAGAAGAGCCCCACUAAGGUAAGGACGUUCAUCUCUGUCUCUCAGGUGAAGCAGAAGAACUAAGAGCCUGAGUUCCCCUUCAGAAAUUCCUUGUGUCUAUUUUUAUCACGGUUAUGGAAAGGCUUCAAACUGUGCCAUUAUCUUUAAUUUGAUUCCCCGUGCCUGUGCAGUUGCACAGUCGCACUAAUUUGGAGCUGCUCCUGUUUACUCCCUGCCUUACUAUUACAUUGAUUGCUGUGGCAAAUCUGAGUGUGCUGAGCUGGCUGCAUAUCAACACCGAUGCUUAAUCUCUGUUUACAAUUUGUUGGGUUAUGUGAUUAAGCUCAUCAGGCAUGCAGAGGAGCCUAGGGGCGUGUGGGCAGGCAGGGCUGUCCCAGGGGGAAUGCCUAGCCCCACAGGCGAGCCUUAGGCUCUCUGGGUCACCCCACAGGCUGGUGGUUUUACUGCCUGGGGGUGUAGAAUGUGAUACGGGAUGUGUCAUAGGAAGAGCAUUUGGGGAUUGUACAAAGUUUGUUGUGGGGUGUUUGGAGCCAGAGAGCAGGGCAGGAUUACACUGUUCGUGCCAUCUCUCUUUGCAUGAGUGUUUGUGUCUCUAUUAUCUAUGAGACUGGCCAUGUGUGUAUUUAUAUUUAGUUGUGUAUACAUACAAAGCAUUUGUUUUUGCCAGUACAUGCUCAUACUUGCUACUGGCUGGACCUCAGAACGUGGAGGCAUGGCAGCAUUGCUUCUGUUGGGCUGUGGGAUUCAGCAAGUAAUUCCCUAAAUGAUUGAUGUUCUAGGAUCACUAUUUCUCUGGUAUCACUGCAUCACAGAGUCAAGUUUCAGUGCUCCUGACCCAAGGACAUUAAUUAAUACUUUUCCACAUUGUUACAAGAAAAGAGGAAGCAUAUAGAGCAAACACCUACAGAAUUUGAGUUACUGAAAAAGUAUAUUGGUGUCCAUCUAUUAGCGAUACUGGGAGAGCUUUUGCUAAGAGAGUAUAAUAAUAGAUUUACUGAUCAUGGGCUCAAAGUAAGUGAAAAUACAAAUCUAUAAAUGGUCAGAAACUAAGCAUUUCAACUUUAAAAGGAUGGUCUGCAGGAAAGGAAAGAAGAAACUAGUUUGUGAAAUUAGUUGAAAAGCUCAAUGUGGGCAGAGAUUGGAUUUAUUUAUUUUUUUAUUUAAGAAGAACAAUGAUAAUGAAUAACUCCAGACAACUGCAAAGAGAAUGACUUCAAACAAGAUGUUAGUGGUAGGUUUUCAACCAACAAGUGAAGAGAAAUUUGUGGCUUAGAGGUUAGGAAUAGCAAGGGCAAUGUGAGAUUUGCCAGCAUUCAAAUUGAAUUAGAUUGUUAAAAUAAUGUCUGAAAUAAAUAGCAAAAUGUUAAUCGGUUGCUUAAAGAAAAGAAAGAAAGAAAAAUCCUGAAAUAAGGGAAUUGAGCUCUUUUUCAUUGCGGAUGGGGUGAAAAAUCUAGGCUUUGCUCCUCAAAAGGAGCGUUUUGCUUUCUUGAUAAUUGCAGGUGAAACAAAGGGUGGUUGGAGCAAAGGGUAUGUAUGGGAAUGUGUAAAAAUAAAUGUUACUGUUUUCACAAUGAAAAUAAAAUCAGAAGAAUGUGUUCAAAUCAGAGGAGUAAAUUUCUGUCUAAGUGUAUUUAAAAAGUAGGAUAUAAAGUCACAAGACUUUUAUAAAAAUCAGUUGUGGUGCCUUACUCCUAAAGAAUUUUAGAUAUUUAAGAUAUGAGAAGAAAAAACACCUAAGGAGUUUGGUGUUAGCCAAGCCAGUUGUUGGCAGUAUUGAACACUGAAAUUUGGGGAUGUUUUGGCUAUGGAAGCCAUUUUGACAAACUGCAGAGUAUAAGGAAAGAGGUAAGGUAGAUAAAGUGUACUCACAGGACACUAGGACUGCGAGAGGUGGCAAAAAGUUGUCUGUCAAGGUAAGAUGAAAUUUUAGAGAAAAGUCAGUGGUAACAUUUCAAAAAAGAGUACUCUUGUGCUUUAUUAGUAUUUUCAGCAGUGAUCUUGGCAAGUAAGUACAAAUGAAUUAAAAGAAACCUUAUCAAUGCAGAGGAAGUAAUCACCAACAAAGUAUGUAUCAAACAGUGAUGUAUAUCUACAAUAUUUUUCAAACCAUCUGGGAGGGAAUAAUUGUUUAUGUAAAUUCUGCUUGAAUUACUUUAACUCAAUCAAAAUCUUAAAAAGAAAACAAGUCAUCCUGCAGCACAGGUUAGUUUCUAACCUUCAGCAAAAGGCAACUUAAAGUAAAACAGUCUGGCUCUAAACAGAUAGAAUAACCAGAGUUUGCAGACUGCAUCUGCCACCGUUUCUCAGUAAUCUCCUCUUCUUGCUGGCUGCAUACCUUCUUCAACUAGGAUAGUCACAUUUUCAAGGCAGAGACCACGAGUGUUUCAGUUUGUACAACAUUGUUAGGUAUUUGCCAAAUGCACUGAUGAUUAUUUAUGCUGCUUGUGCUUCUAAUGUGAUGGCUUGACUAUGCACAAGACCCAGUUCUUCCUUAAGUUACAAGUUGUUUCAGCUGAAAGCAAUGGAAGUUGUGCCUGCACAGGGGUAAAGGCUGGUCCUUAACCUCUUGAGGUCAGUAGGAACAGAUGUGUUCUCCUAUUUUCUUCUCUUGGGGCUUCAAGCAUUUUCUUGAGUACAUAGGAGUCUGAUUUUCUUAACACUUUAAUAGCAAUGCUGCUCUGAUUUUUCUCAUCUUCCACCAUUAAUUUCAUUGUUUGAUUAUACAUUUUCUAAACUUCAUAGGAAUGAUAGUCUCAUACUAGCAUUUCCUACGCUUAAACAUACAUUACUUACAUUGUAAUAUUUUGUGGGAAAAAUUUCCAAAUGAAAAAAACUGCUUGUAAUGAUAUAAUGCUGUUAUAAUGUAUAUGCUAUAUGAGGAGAAAUUAAGGUACUAACAUUCUCAAUUCUGGAUUUUCUGUAGUGUUUUUCCAGUGCUUGACUAAUUAAGCUUGGCUUUUCUGCAUAUUUAGAUGUAGUGUGUGGAAUCUGUUGUUUUUAGGGAAGAAAAAUAGACUGUCGUGAUAAUUUGGAUACCAGCAUAGGUUUUCAGCACAUUUAUUUAUUUAUGUGAAUGGAUAUGUGAAAUGUAGUGCUUAUUCCACGACUAUUUGUCAACAAUGGAAGAGCAAAAAUUGGAGAUCUCAACACAGAUUUUUCAAGUCGUCUUCUAAUUCAAUCUUUUCAUCCUCCUCAAUCUUCCAACCAAAAGUUCGACCUUCAGGUUUCUCAUUCCAGUCCCCACAGAUGUUAGUCACCAGGAAUCUUCAUCUCAGUCUCCUAGCCUCGUAAGCAUUGCUUUCUUUUUGCAGUGUUGUUUUUCAGAUUCUCCCAUUCAUUGCCAGACCCUCUGGUAAAUUAUAUCCCAUUUUACUCUUUACUUAGAUUUUUCUUUCUUUUCAUCUUGCUACUUCCAUUUUCUUUUUUCCUCUUGAAUUCCAUUUUGCCUUCCUUCCCCUUCAUCUCUUUCAUAAUGUAAUUUGUUCUUUGUUUAAAAUAGCCCCUCUGCAGAUCAUGGGAUUUUCAACUUGCAAAUAAUUUAUGGCAGAACAAAGAUAUUAGAGGCUCUGUAGUUACGUCUUUGCUGCUGCUUCAUGUCUUCCCUACUACCAAGUAUCACUUUGGCUCAUCACCAUAUCUCUUCAUCCCUUUCUGAAAAGCCUGAGCCAAUGUACUCCUCUUUUUAACAGAAGCCUUUUCUAGCUCAUGUCUCCUCUGCAUAUGAAUUCUGCAUCUUCUUUUUCCAUGCAGUCUAGCUCCAGAUAAAGUUAACAGUCAGAGAGCAAAAUUGGUGAAAUCUUUAGGUUUCCAGAACAGCUGCCUGGGUAAGUAGCUAAUGGGAAGUUGUACUGACUUGGCUUUGGGGUGUGCUUUGUGAAAGUGGCAUCUUAGGAGUGGUUUUUGCAAAAACUCUCUGGUUCUCUAAGAGCAUGUGUAGUUUUCAGACUUUUAAGGAUUUGAAUAUGUUUGAAUCGAAUCGGGUGUGCUAAGUUCCUCAUUCAAAGCAUGUGGACUAAUGAAUGGUCAUUAGAUUUCUUUUUAUUCUGGUGGGAUUUACCUUGACAAUUUCUGAGGAGGAAAAAAAAAAAAGAAAAAAGAAAAGCCUUUUCUUACUGACAUUACACUAAAUUCUGAAGCUGGUACAGUGCUGAAAUUUGUAUGUCAAAUGAUUAAAAUAUGUGAGAUUGUAGUGAAGAGAAUGUAAUCCAAAGUAGCGAGUAACUCUUAUAACGGAUAGGCUCUUCUCUCUAAAUAUGUGUGCAGUGGUUGCAAUUUCAUUUCCAGUUCGAUUCUUUUCUCUCUUACAUGCUGAUCCUCCCAGGAGUUCAGCCUGCAGUGAUAUUUAGGAUACAGCCUUUAUUUCUUUCACUGCCCUGCUACAAAUUUAAAACUAUGUAAAGUCUUAAUCCUUACUUUUUCCCACAUUCCUUCCUUUACACCUGUUUGUAUUGGUGAUCUGAGGAACCUCUUUAAGAGUGAAGUUAGUGAGUGCAGAAGCUUAUUGCUAUGUUUGAUCCUUAGCAGAACUUGGUCCAAAAGAACGUACUCUCCACUCUUCAAUUUGCAGUGCUGCUGAGAGAAUCCUACAACAUACUAAAGACCUUUAAUAAUUAAAAAUUACUACAGCAUCUAAAGUGCCUAACAGGGAGGAAAGGAACAAAGACCAUGACAGCUGCCAAACAGCAGAAGUGUGCCAGAGUGUUCCUGUGUACUCUAGAUUAUCAUUAACUGACAAAACUGUUGAAAUCAGCCAAGAAAUGAGAGGACCCCAUCAGUUUGACCAGAAAGUGCAACCAUUUCUGACUCUAAGUCUAGCACAUUCUAUGACCUGGGUAUUAGGCAGAUUUCUCAGUCACAUGCCAGCACCUCUAAAACUUUGGCUACGGCUAUUUCUAAAAUUGACAAAGGCAUGUUUUGACUGCAUGUGUUAGCUUUGCCUCUUGUUUUGCUUUCUGUAUUCCUUUCUGUUCAGCUUGUUUGGGCAACAAAACUCAGAGUUCAAAGGGAAAAAAAAAAGAAAUUUCAAUUUUGUAUGGUAUCUAAUCUCAGUUUUGGAAGUAACAUAAGCUUUUUGAUUUUUGUUUGUUUGUUUGUUUUGGUAGAUUUUCAGUUGCUGGUGGGUAGGUGGUAGUUAAACAUACACAUUUUUCCUGGUUUUCAACACACUUGCAAUUCUUGAUUGUUUCCUUAAGUGCCAGCUGCUGAAACUUUGGUCUAGGUGCAUACUCCUGCCUUUUCUACAGAAGUGUAGUUCUUCAGGACUGUAUUGCAGUCAAGAUAAUAAUUGGACUGUUGAUGUUUGAGGUGGUUGAUACUCAUCCUUAGGAAUUUCUUUUACAUCAGUUAAGACAUUUGUCAUUUUCCAAGGAACCUUCUAAUUGCUGUACAGAUGCUUGUAUUUCAGUUUUUUCUGCUUCAACAGGAAAAAAAGCAAUUGUGCUACCAGUAAGUAAGGCUGGUCAGUGAUUUUAAUUAACUCACUUGGAGUGUUGCAACUUUUUGCUUAAAAAUAAUAAUUUCUCAGAUCAAGUGCUUUAGUGAUUGUGUAUCAAUGCCAGUGAAUCUUUUCCUCUCAGACAGUUUUAUAACAAGUAAAUAGCUUGUGAUUAUUUUGUUCCAGUUCUGUGGUUUCAUUUCUGAAUGUGUAUUGGAAAAUUCUGUAACCGUUCCUUGUGCCUGUCUAUUCAGAAACUCAAGAUGUCUAUAGGAAUCCCACUUUAAAUUUAAUCUUCUGUUGUGACUGAGAAUUUCUUUGAGUCUAUUUAUGUUCCUAGACCAAAAUGUGUCAGUCAACACAAGAAAACAGUAGCCCUUUGGAGAUGACUCUGUCAACAAGAUGUAAAUAAGUUGUUUGUUGUGCAGGAUGAGAAGAAAAAGAAAAAUGGAAAAGUAGUUCAAAUUCCAGAAAGAGAUAAAUGGAAUAUACAGCGUUCACAAAAUCCUCCUGCAAAUGCUUUUUGCAGUCAAAAAGGGCAGAUUAACAGAGAUGAAUUUGCAAGGCAUUUAGUUGCUGUUUGAAUGAGCUCAGAUGUUACAAAUGAGAGAAUCACAGAAUGCUUUGGGUUGAAAGGAACCAUUAGGACGAUCUAGUUCCAACCCUCUGCUAAUAGACAAGGGCACCUUCCUCCAGACCAGGUUGCUCAAAGCCCCAUCCAGCCUGACCUUGAAUGCUUUCAGGGAGGGAGCAUUUACAAGCCCACUGGGCAACCUGUUCCAGUGCCUCACCACCCUCACAAUAAAGAAUUUCUGCCUAAUAUCUUGUCUAAAUCUACCCUCUUCCAAUUUAAAACCAUUUCCCUUUGUCUUGUUGCUAGAAUAUAGAAUAAAACUAUACAAUACCUUGAACAUCAAUAUUUUAUAAUGUAUGGAGUUUCACUGUAAUUGUGUAGGUAGGAACACUUAACAAAUAAAGCUAUACAUGAGUCUUGAAAAUCCACACUGGCAUUACCUUCCGGAGGGAGUAUCAACUUGACAAUGGAGCAGCAGGGCAUGCAGCAUUUUCAGCCAGCCUAUGGGCAGCCUAUGCUGAUUAUCUCAAGGCAGUAAGAGUAUUUAAGUGGGUAAGUGGCUGGACUUGUAACUUAUAAUUUGUAGGCCAAAUGUAUCUGACCUCUAGUUUUGCAAACUCCAGAUCUCUGAAGCUGAUUCCAGAAGCUACAGUUUCAUUCACUUCAGCUUUAUAAGGAAUUUUUCACCUGUCUUUGCAUAGAAUAUGAACAGUGCACAAAAUCCAGACUACUUCCCUUUUGAGACUGGAAUUUUAUUAGAAAUGUCAACAAAAUAUGGGAUUUGAAUUACCACAGCAUGAAAAAUCUUUGAUCCUAGACCAGGAUGUAAUUAGGGUAGGCCUAUUUCAAAGCUAGGCACAAAAAUGUUACAUCGGACACAGAACAAGGAAUUUCCCUGUGUAACUUGUGGUCAAAGGAUUAAGAUGCUGGAUAGUAUAAUACAGUUGGAUAAAUACAGGCAAGAAUCAUGAAACAAGAGCAGCUUAAGUACUCAUUUUUUUAAAAGCAUCAUAAAAACAAGGGGAAUAGGAACUAGUAAUGAGAUAUCAGCAUGGGAUGCAAUGUGUCUCAUCUCUGGCCUAGAAGCUUUCAUGUGAAAACAAAACAAACAAAAAGACUGUGAUAGCAGGAGUGAGAGCAGACCUCAUAGUGAUGACAUGACUGAGAUGCAGUGUUUAAUGAAGAUCAUUCUAAAACUGGAUGAAGCAAAUUGAUGCAAAUAAAGGUGUGUGUAUAUAUAUAUAAUAUAUAAGAUAUAUAUUAUCGAGCAGAAGCACAGUCUUUUCUAUUUUUUUUUUCCUAAAAAAUCUGUGGUUUCUUAAAACUUAGAGCUAAUAGCAAUAAUGCCUUUAAUUUUUUACCCUUUUCUAUAUUUUGAGUUUUGAGAGAUUUGGCAGAUAUAUUGCCAAUGUAUAGCAUGGCUUUUCAGCUGAAGGUUGUCAUUAGAUCAGGAUUAGACCCUCAGUUUUUAUGCUUAGGUUAUUUUGAAUGUCUCUAAGGCACUUCGGGUUACUAUUUUCUAUUUAAAUAAUUAUAAAACAUAUUCUAAAUUGAAAGUGUGCUCAAAGUGGGACAUAUCUUUGUAGCAUGGGCUUUUUGCGGUAUUUUGUUUUGAAAUGUCAAAUUUAUCAGAAGUGUGAAAUUGAAGACAAUCAUUUCAAGAACAGCAACAUUCCUUUACCUUGUAAGCAUUUAAUGGAAGUUACCUGUAAAUAUUUUUUACAGAUCAUGUCCUUUCAUUGAUUUUGCAGCUACAGCAAUCUUUAUUAGGGUACCUAGUUGAUUGUGCUUUUAAUUCUAAAAGAGAAAAUCUCGUAGACCAAGAGAGUUGUGAUUAUUAUUGCAAUAUUCACUGAAAACUCUGUUGGGCUGACCUUGAUAUAAUAUAAAAAACUUGGAGUAGGCAAUGUGUUUAAUAAAUCUAUGGAACCAAAUCUCUGUAUUUCAUACAAUACUAUGCAAUAAAAAAUACACAUAUUCAUGAUGUGAGAUAAAACGUGCACGAGAAAAUAAAGUAACCCUGCUAAUCUUUAGUAGUGAGAAAGAUUGUGGGGUUUUUUUUGUUGCUGUUCUCUGAAGAAUGGACCCCAUAGUGUCCUCAAUGUACGUAUACAUGGCAAUAAAGCUCAGAUUUGAGUCACUUAAAUUUUGCCCUACUAUGACUCUCAGUCUCUCAAUUUUGCUUAAGCCCGACGUGGAAUAGCUCUCUGGAACCAACUUCUUUUUGACUAUCCUUAGAAUUUCUUGUGUACCUAAAAUUAGGCCCAGAAAAAGUGAGGAGCAACCCUCACUGAGAAUAGAGAGGCUUGGCCUUUGCUGAAGCCCUGUUCAUUUUAGAAUCUGUAUUUGUUUGCUGAAGUCUUAUAGUAACUGUCCUGCAGCCUGGACAGCAGCUAACUGAUGCUUACAGCUCUGGCAUCAUUAAAAAGCACGUCGUAACAGUCCUGUCGUGCAGCUAUAUAAUAUGGUAAGUGUAUAUAUGUUGUGCGCAUUGUUGUGUAUAUAUAUAUAUAUAUAUAUAUUUAUCUCAUAGUCUGAAUCAUCACUGCACAGAGGGACAGAAGAAAGAAAGAAGGAAGCUUGAAAUUUUGCUUUCCAAAUGGAGACUAGGAGCGCAUUGAAGGCAAAUAAGCAAUAUCAAAUGAGAAGUCUAUGACAAAGCUGGAAAUUGUACUGACAAUUUUGAGUGCCUUAAGCACUCUAUUUUCCAUUAAGUGCAUUAUUUUUUCCCUCCACUCCAGUGCUUAUCGGAAGAUAACUUUUGUUCUUCAGCCUAAAUUCGCGUUACUGUUUAAAUUUGAGCUUUUCAACAGCUGCUGUUUUUGCAGCAAUGAAAGACAAUAUUGUGGAGCAGAUCUUAAUUUCCAGAUGGAAAGCAGUUAUCAAAAAAAAUUAUUGUAUGUUUUUUCCUUAUGAUCACAAAGGUGUUCAAAGAGCAUUCUAAGAGAGAGAUCACAGCUUUGGGAGGUGGUUUUUAUAGAAUAAGCUCAUAAUGUAUUGGACCAAUCAUCUUGUUUCCUAUAGAAUUCUCAAAAAGAGAGCAGAAUUAUAAACUGUAUUUCUUCUACUGAAAAACAAUUUUGUUUCCUGCAAUCACUUCUUUUAGUAUAUGAUAAAAUAGCAGAAGAGAUUUAUGUCUACUUUAAGGUGAAUGCAAGCAAUCCUGAUCACAUGGCACAUUGUUUCAUUUUACUCACGUUGUUAUUCCAUUAUGUACAUAAUGCUUUAAUUUUAGUCAGUAAAUAUUAAGAAUUAUAUAAGUGUUUUGUUUUCUGCCAUGUAAUGAACCUGUACUAAGACCUAGCAUGAUUGUGCUGUCUCAAGGAACAGCAAAUCAGAAGAAAGCUCCUCUCUUUAUCUUUUUACUCUUCCAAGUAGUUGUCUUUCCUAUUGAAGUUUCUUCUGUACUUUGAAGAUUUUUUUGAACGAAUGCAUCACUUCAGUAUUAGCAUAGAUAUUUAGUCUGUCAAAGGGAGUGGAUACAAGUCCAGAUCAAUCUUUGUUUCUUUUUAAAGGUAACUGUAUUCACAUUCUUUCUUUUGUUUUAAAGGGGCUCAGCCACUAAGGGUUUGGAAUCUGCUGGAAAUUUGCUCCAGCUUCCCAAUGCUAGGUAGGUAUAAUAGUUGAGUUUGAUUUUGAAGUUUUUGCUGAGGUUUUCUCAAAGACCCACACAAGUAAGAUAAGAACAGGCCGACAAAUUAUUUAUGUUUGCCUGUCCCUGUCAAGUCUUUAUUGACUCUUAACUAUUCCAGUUCUAAAUUGAACGCAGCCUCAGGGAAGGAAACAUUUAUAUAAGAGGAUUGUGGUGGAAGGAUUUUUCUAUUGAUCCUGCAUACAAAAAAAGGGCCUUAGGAACCAGAAUGCUUUUAACUAAUUAUAUGUGACAAUUCUUUCCCUUGAAGAAGAGAUGUUUAUCCAAAAUCAAACCUACAAGUUACCAAUGUCUUUACAGUAUUCCCUCUUCUCUUUGACAGACAAUGCAUCAAGUUAAAAAAAAAAAUAAAAUAGGCCUGAUAGAAUUCAUGUUAUGCAAUGUUUGUGUUCGUGUAUAUGUGAAUAAAUUGGAACCUCUGUGUAGGGAUCACUUCCUGAGCAUGUUAAUGCUGUGUAGCCAGGUUUGUUUAGUUCUAUUUCUCUAUUUACCAUUCAGAGAAAUAAUGCUUUGGGAAGUGUUUUUACUUGGCUUCACGGGAAAGUCUUGACCCUAUUUUAUGAUACCAGUAGCAAGUAAUAAGGGACUCGAACACUGGUAUUUUAAAGCUGUUUUGCAUUGUGUCUUUCACACUGUGAAAGUUUUUUGUCUUUCAUGCUUUGAAAGUGUACUUCCAGUGACUCCUGUAAUUUCAAAUGGUGAUUUGAAGCAAUAAGAUAUAGAAUCAUAAAAUCAUUUGAGUUCUAAAAUACCUUUAAAGGUCAACUAGUUCAACUCCUCUGCAAUGAUCAGGGACACCUGCAGCUAGAUUGGGUUGCUCAGAGCCUGGUCCAGCCUGACCUUGAAUGUCUACAGGGAUGGGUCAUCCACUACCUCUCUGGGCAAUCUGUUCUGAUGCCUCUCUACUCUUAUGGUAAAAAACUUUUUCCUUAUAUCCAAUCUAAAUCUCUCCUCAUUCAGUUUGAAACCAUUUCCCUUUGUCCUAUCCCCCCUUUUUUUUUUUCUUACAGCCCCCUUGUAGUUACUGAAGGGCUGCUCUCAGGUCUCCCUGGACCCUUCUCUUCUCCAGGUUGAACAGUCCCAGCUCUCUCAGCCUGUCUUUGUAGGAGAGGACAUUGGAUUAUUGCUGUGGCCCUCCUCUGGACAUGCUCCAACAGGUCCAUGUCACUCCUGUACUGAGGACUCCACUCCAGAUGAGACCUCACUGCACUUAAGUGAUACAGGGGCAGGAUCACCUCCCUUGCCCUGGUGACCAUGCUUCUUUUGAUGCAGUCCGGGAUAUGGCUGGCUUUCUGGGCUGCAGGGGCAUGCUGCUGGUUCAUGUCCUCCUUGCCAUUCACUAUUACCCCUAAGUCCUUUUGGCAAGGCUUUGCUCUAUCCUUAUGUCCUCCAGCUUGUAUUUACAGUGUGGGUUUCCACAACUCAGGUGCAAGGCCUUACACUUGGAAGUUGAAAACCUCUUGUUCUAUGCUAGGUAGCUGCUGUAUGUGUCUAUUCAAAUCUACAUCAUGUGAAAGAACAUCAUGAAAAAAAUAAGGCAAGUGUUAGUUAGAAAAGCUACUGAAAAUCAUCUAGUUAACUGUAAAAACUUGAAAAUAUAGCUGGUGUACUUAAUCACACAGAAGCUAAGUUUAUCGCUUAUUCAGCAUUCUUUUUCUGUAACAAUGCCAUGGAAAAACAAUGGCAUGUUUUUUUCUCUUAAAAUGGACUGGGCAGCUCUAUUUUUCUCCUCCCUUGUUUGAUUUACAAUAUACAUGUUGUCUGAACACUUUGCAUGAAUAUUUUCUACAGUGUAGGCAUUGUCUCUGUCUUGAAUGCUGUAGGUCCAGUGCCUUACCAUUCUGAAGGUUUCACUUGCAUCAGUGUCUGUGUUGUAUUGCUAGAUUUUGUGCAUAAACUGAAUGAAAAGGAUCAAAAUAAUCAGGAAGGACAGACCCUGCUUUCUAGUAGCAGCAUGCACUCUCUAUCUGUAUUUUGUCCAAACACUUUGUUCUGGGACAUCUAGUAGAGUAAGAAGAACUGAAUUAGAAGUUUGCACCAAUAAUAUGUCUAACUGACAGUGUAAAAGAGAGUACAAUAAGCAGCCAACAAUAGAGAAAAUUUUGGAGGUAUAACAGUGAUAUCUGGGACAUUUCUCCACCUUGAACAUACUUUGAUUCCUAUAGGCAUGUCAUAUGGCAAAAAGGUAUAUAUGAGCUUUUUAAAAGUAAGUUUAAAAACUGAAACAAUAAGCAUAAAACUGAAGCUUUUUGAAGUAUGUGAAAAAGCUAGAUAGAAAAAUAGGAUAGGACUGACCUAAUGAUGCAAGAAUGCUGGGGGAUUUGUAAAAGAUCAGGUUGUGACUUGUCCCAGAUUCCAAAUGCACAGAGCUAACUUUUGUUGAAGUAAUUAAAAUUUGCCAAGCAAAUGAAGUUUGUCAGCCCACAUGAAAACUUACUGAGGAAAGAUACGUUCUUGGCUAGCAUGAACUACUUUUCUGUAUUGAAAAAAAAUACAGACGAGAAUCCAAAGGAAAAAGGAGAAGCAAAGCUCAGAUUUGGAGUCCAUGAAAGUCCUGUUGCCCAAAUCACACCAAAUAAUAUCAGGCAACAAUGAUGUCUGGAAAUCAAUAGCACAAAUAAAAAGGAUUGCAUCAACUGUAAGAGUUGGCAUAAGUUGUAUACCAUAGACAAAAGAGAAUCUUACAGCUCAGAAGAUAUUUUGUGAGAAAUCGGACCAGAGCAGCAAAAGACAAUUGGAAAACUGGUUUAAAAAUAAACAAUAUUUGAUUAAUGUAUCUGUGUUGCUAAAAAAAGCCCAUUUGCCUCAGAAAGAUAUAGUGUAGCUUAUAAAGGAAAUAUAUAGAUUAACUAUAAUAUCCAGAACGUUAGGAGAAAUAGUGAUGAAGGAGCUCUGAAUAGGGAGAAAUAGAAAGUUCCAAAAUAUAGCAACUUCUUUUAGGUCUCAUUAACAGGACAUGCUUCUUAGUAGGUUAAAUAAAGACAGCAUAGAGAUAGGCUACCUGCUGCUUAAUAACAAUUGCCCCUAUAGAAAAUUUACUGAGUUAUUGUAGGAAGUAGUAUUCGCUAGCCCAGUAAAACAAAAACCUGAAAUACUAUAUACUUUAUUUUUGUACUAAGUGAAGGUUUCUAACAAAGUGAAAUUUUAGCAGUUCUAUCACAAAAUGUCUUUAUGAUGUGUUAGGCAUAUUUUGAUAUGCCUUUUUAUAACCGUUUUCUUUGACUAAGCUCUUAAAAUACUGAUAUUCUGAUGUGAUUCAUCAAUCCAUUUGUAAACUGAACUCCCUAGUUAUAUAACUUACACUAUGUUUUAUAAUCCUUAAACUGUUUAGCUAGAAUCUCAAAGCCAAUGGUUACUAAUUGAUUAUAAUUUUUGCAAAAGGAACAGUAUUGUUGACAUGUUGUGAAAAUGCUUUUUGUAUAGAGUAUAUCUGAUGGAAUGCACCCAUUCCUUAACUUAUACUCUUAUGAAGGUUUCCCUCUUUAUAAUUCAAAAUAUAAUGGCUAGAUAUAAUACUCUGCCUCCUUUGGUAUUCAAAUAAAGAAUAAAAAUCUUGAAAAAAAUUAUUACACUCACUAGAUGAUGCCAGCAACCAAGCUUAUAAACUCAUAAGUGCUUGACGUGAUCCUGAGCCCAUAGUGACAUUUUAAGUUCUCUGUAUAAUCAGCAACUCUGUUGAAAAGUGAAAGCCUGGAGAUCCCUACGCAGGAAUAUGGAAGCAUAUGGAAUUAUAUUUGUAUAAUUCUCUUGAAGACUGAAAAGUAUAACCUGCAUAGACUUUCUGAACUGAUGUCACAUUAAAAGUGGUACCAAAGCAGCUGUUAAGAGCUGAUGCAGUUGCCAAAAACAGUGGCAAAGUUGGAAGGUGAUACUGAUGGUGCCUUGGGAAAGAGAGAAAGAUAGGGAUCAUCCUGGUUGGUUUAUAUUGACUGAAAGCAGCAAUGUACUUGUCUUUUAUGGUAGAAUAUUUUUUUCCUCAUCCCUAUUACUUAUAAUCUAGUGAGACAGUGGACAUGAGUAUUAAAGAAGAAAAAAAUAUUUUAAAGUCAGAUUCCUGAUCUAUAAAUUAGCAAACUUACAAUACAGCAGGAGCAAAGAGGCAUUGACUGAUACUUAAUUCACAGAACACUGAAAAUCAAUUUCUGCAUGGUUAGAAGUUGCUGUCAGAGCUGCAAAGAUCUUGCAAAGGUUACAGAGCCUUCCAGGGAGGUGGAUAUAAAACAAAGAGCUACAAGGAAAACUGAAGAACGUAUUUUAUUUAAAAGGCCAUUAUGGAGGAAAAAAACAUCUAAUCUUUCUUACUUCUAUAUAUACAAGUCAACAUGCAUCAAACUGCUAUUUAAAAUUGUUCCCAGCAUUAGUAAGUUUCAAUACUCAAAUAAAAUUGAAACGUUUUCAGUUUUUUUCAGCUGUAGACAUGAAGAGAUACAUGCAACGUUUCUAGGUAUCCAAGACCAACAAAAUGAUGUAGCUCCCAUUAUCUUGAAAUUUUGAAAGAGAAAAAAGGUAUUUGAGAAGUAUUUUUACAUCUUUGACAGCAUAAAUUUAGGGACAUGCUGUGCCCUGCUCCUGGUCACCAAUGGCAGGACAUAGGAGUGGCACAAAGCUGCACCAGGGGAGGUUCAGCCUGAGCAUGAGGAAAAAUUUCUUUAUUGUGAGGGUGGUUAAACACUGGAACAGCCUUCCUAUUGAGGUGGCUGGUGCCCCGUGGCUGUCAGCCUUCAAGAGGCAUUUAGAUAAUGCCCUCAUUAACAUUAGCUUUUGGUUAACCCUGAAGAGGUUAGGCAGUGGGACUGGAUGAUCUUGUAGGUCCCUUACAACUGAACUAUUUUAAUAAUUCAAUAGUUGGAAAUGAAUAUUCAUUUUCAGUUUCCAUUAACUGGCAGACACAGGGAUAUCCUGAAAAGUUCACAUUAACGCUGUAAGUCAGAGAUGAUAAUUCUAUGUCAAAGUUCAGACCAUUUGAAUGCAGUAAACUUUUUGUUAUUUCAGAAUUCCAGCUAGAGAUUCAUUGCUUAUUUUGCAAAAUAAUCCAUCUGAUGGUGGAUUUGUUGGUUUUCAUUUUCUCUAAGCAUGACUGAAAUAGAACUAUCAGAAGUGAUUUUGGUAAUAUUCUUUGAAGUACCAAUAGCCACACAGGAAAAAAGUGUUUUUAUUUUUUUCCAUCUGUUUUUAAUUGUUUAUUUUGUAAGGAGAAAUCUGUCUAUAAACAAAGCUCUGUUUUGCUAAGGGGUAAUAUUGUAUACAUCACUGCUCUUAAGAAGCCUUGCUGCAUUGUUACCAGAUGAUUCAUGCCUAUAACUUCAAAGGAUAUGAUGGUAUACCUUGUUGCUUUUGCAGCAUCCACCUUUUGAGCUCCUGCGUUUUCACAUUCGUUUGCAAUAACCAGCAAUACACAAAGCCAACAGCUUUCUUCCUAGAUGCUGUGCUAGAGUUAUUUGCAGGAUUUACAUUGCCUGUGUGGUGUCCUACUUCAGACAAUCCUUGGGAGCAGUAGAGAAACUGCUGCAUAAUUUUAGCAAAAACUAUAACCAUACGUACCAUUCAAAAAGUCUGUAACUACUGACAGAACAAAACGUACUCUCCUGAAGGUUUAUCUUUUAUGUAGUGCAUAACCAAGUAAUUUUUUACCAACAUCCUCAUGAUCCAUGCAAGGAUGCAAUUUAACAAAAUAAGAAUGAAUAAUUUAUGGUUCUACCUUUAAUUAUUAUUCCCAUGCCAAUCUCAUUAAUUAAUAAGUGUUAUCUGUCAGUCUCAAGAUAAUAUAGUCUAUAACAGAUAGCAUUUAGCCUGCAGUAAAUGUAAAAAAUGAAAUCUGUACUCGCUAACUGGCUGAACGUACUCAGCUAUCCUAGCUACAGCUUUGUAGGCAGGUCAGAGCAAUUCUGGAGAUGUAUUUUUAAAAUAACUUUUUCCAAUGAUGAUUUUAAUUGUGUUUGUCAAAAGAUCCUAAUAUUCCUUAAAAAAAGGUAACAUUUCCUGUCUUUUAGAGAUGUAUGCAUGUUAUUCAGUAUCAAACAGAUCGUAGUUGAUAUCAAUCAGCAUGUUCAUCUGGGUAAUGAAGUGGUCACUGACUGCAGUAGCCUUGAUGAAGCAUCUCAGAUGGACCUCUGCCUCAACAUCAUUAAUCCCCACUUUUUUGCUUCUUUAACCAGAUUGCCUGGUUCUUGUCAGGUUGCAGCAGUGGAGAGUGGGAGAGGAGUAGUCUUCCCCUUCAAACUGUCUUCUGAAAAUCCCCUGAUACACGCAUCUGCUCUUUGUCAUGAGCCCAAAGGGAGUUUGUCUCUUAUCCAGUUCCAGUGCCUGGUUUUCAAGUCCUUUGAUUUUUCAGUAGUUGAAUAAAAGACAGUAGAGGCUGUCCCAGGAGGCUAGAGUACUCUUUUAAAUCUACAAAGCUUUCCUCUCUACGAGAUAUUCACUAAACAUUUGUAGUAAAAUGUAUGAUUGAUCAUUUCUGCUUAUACAAUGAUUAAUUCACUUUUCCAGAUUUUCUUUUUAUAUGCCAGUUUUCUUUCCAUGAUUACAAUAUAAAGAAACAGGACUUUAGGGCAGAGUCUCAAAGUAGGAAGCCACAUCAAAGAUUUUUAUUAUAGCUACAGGUUUAGGAUAAUAAAAAGGGAAGAUAUUUUCUAAAGCUCUGCAGUUGAUUUUUGUUAAGGGACUAGGCUUCCUUAGGCUGACUUGCUCUGACUAUCACAGUGUGUGCCCUGCAAAAUUGUAAUUGUUUCUGUCUUCCCUUUCCGCAUGUUGCCAACAAAGGAAAAUGAAGGAUGAAGUAAGAUGAAGAUCCUUGAAAUAAAGAUGAGUACUUAAAAAAAAGAAAUGAGAGAGUAGUCAUUUUCCAGGCCACGCUGUAAUACAGAGCACUUUAGUUCAGUUAGUUGUGUGGAUAUAAACAUUUAUUAUUUAUUAUUUAUUAAUUGCAUGAAUUUAAAUAGGCAGGUAAGAAAAACUGGGUAGAGCUAUACAUAUCACUGCCAUCUAUGAGUUGAAAAUAGGUGUUAGGUUUUGACUUGUAAUAACUGCUGAGCAGCACAAAUUAGCUAGAAAUAUGAGGAAAAAUAAUAGUGUUGCAGCGUAUAAGCAACAAAUAUACAAAGUGAGGUAGUUAGGCUGGUAUCUACAUAGUAGAUUGUACAGUUAGAAAGAUUAUCACAUUGGAAAGGGAUAAUUGGAAAUAAAUGAUAACACUCACCUGUGUCCUAUGCUCACAGAGCAAACCAACCAACCAACCAACCAACCUCCACAAGGAGCUGUCUACAGAAAAAGAUCUUUCCUCAGUGGCAGUCAGCCCCUAAAUGGGGUCUAGGAGAGGUGGAACCAGGCUCCACCCCUUUCCGUCACACAGGUGAAUUGCCUUCACCUUUGCUCCUGCGGCUGACUCCGUGCUUGCCUCAGGUGGUCAAUCAGUGGUUCAGGCUGUGAUUCAACAGUUCACAUACAUGCAGGAACUAGCAAAAUGAAGAGAUUCUAAAUAGAUGCUUCAGUAGAGUGCAGUCAAUUUAAUAAGCAAUUGAAUGUAUUUAUUUUUGCUUCAUAUUACUUUUGUCGGUCAUUCAUUAAUCAUCAUUAGAUACAUGGGCUUUGCUUAUACUCUGAUGGAUUAACAGGUGUAACGUAGAAUUGCGCAAUCAUAGAAUGGCUUGGGUUGGAAGGUACAUCAAGGAUCAUCAAGCUCUGACCCCCCUGCCACAGGCAGGGCUGCUAACCACCGUAUCUAAUACUAGGCCAGGCUGCCCAGGGCCCCAUCCAACCUGGCCUUGGAUAUCUCCAGGGAUGGGGCAUCCACAACCCCUCUGGGCAGCCUGUGCCAGCGCCUCACCACUCUCUUAGCAAAUAAUGUGGUCUUUCUGGAAUUUCUCUCACUUUUAUCAUCAAAAAGUAAAACCUCAGGAUUUGGUGCAUUUGCAAGUUCACAAGAUACACCUUUUGGUGGCAAAAAUGAAGACUAUAACAUCCGUCUGCAUCCAGCCUCAUUCUUCGUUUUCUCUAUUUCAAAGUAAAAAUAAGCAUUUUCUUGAAGAGAUGAGAUAAUCAAAAUAAGUGAAUGCAGAACAUGCAAAACAAGAGAAAACACAUCCAAACUCACACCAUCCCUCUCAUUGUGAGCUAUACCUAAGCCAAAGUCUUUUAUAUUGAUUUUUUUCAGUUUUUUCUGGCUAGUCAAGAUAAAAAUAAGUAUUAGAAAGCCUGAGAUGCCGGUAAAUACUCUAGAAGUUUAAUUCUGUAUAUAGAAAAUCCAGCUCCUGAUCACUCUUUGAAAACUUCAUUUUCUUUCAGUGCUGAUAACACCACAGCAUGGCAGGAGCAGAUCCUUCUGACCAUCUCCCUCCCCACCUCCCUAAAUCCAGAUUAAGUGAAUGGAUGACAUGUCACUACAAGGCAGUGUGCUCCAAAUAGCAUGAAUUCCACGGUUCAGGACAAACCAACUUUUAAAUGUAACGAGUAUCUAUUUAAAAGUAAAAGGGAAUGCUUUUUUAACUUUGAGGCCAAUAGGUUAUUUGCAUUCAUUCACUGAGUUCCAUUUUUAUUCAAAAAAACAUUAGCUCUUCACUGAAGUGCAUUUUAAACAUAAGAAUUGAUGUCUCUUGGAGUAUGUAAUGGCCUAUAAUUUUCCUCCCACUUCAGCAUAAUGAAUGCAAUCAUUUAUUCUUUUGUGCAUUAUUUUGUAUGAAUUUCUUAAUUAUUGAAUUAUUAGACUUAUUAGUAAUGCAAAUAUUGUUUUUCUUCCUGAGAUUUGUGUUUUCACUUUAUUUCUAAAAGAAGUGCAUGAUGUGAAGAAGAUAGUGAAAACUGCACUUUUCCUUAGGCAAUUUGUAGUUUACUCGAGUUUGAUUGGUGUUAGUCAGUGCAUAUCUCCAGAAUUGUUGAAUCUCAUCCUAAAAUAGCCUAGGCUCACAUUAGCUAACAGUCUUAAACAGUCACAGUAUUUCUUGAAAUAUCUGGGAAAAGGAAGAAUGCUUUUAUACUAUUAAUGCUAAUAUAUUAGUUUUACUUAGAACAGUGAUGUAGAUCUAUCACGAUGUACUUAAAGCUACCUCUAUUUCUCCUGAAUAAAUAAGCAAAGCUAUAUGCACUAUAAAUAAUCCAGAAUACAGAAAUAAAUUGUGAUUAAGUGUUUAAUGACAUUACUUAAAGAAGCUGGAAAGCUGAAAAGCGUCAUACUUUGCAUCAAAAGUAUCUGAAAAUUAAAUAAUAAAAAAAUAGGUGACAAAAUAAACCUUUAUUGUGUUAUGUUCCCAAUUUUUGAACACCUUUUCCAGCUAUUCUUUUGAAGUUAUUUAUUUUCAAGUUUACUGAUAAAGAGAUGUAAUGCUCUGGGGAGCAUUUCACGAACUAAGUGGAAUUAAAUCUGGCCACUCAGGAAAGGAAAUCAGUCAUGAAACAAUAUUUCAGGAUGAUAGAAAGGAUCAUAGUCCACCCAGAAAAAAAUUCAAUAGAUUUAUUUGGGCAAGUACUGGAGAAUUGGAUUCAUAAGUUAUAAGGCAGGAUAAAUGUAUUUUAGGGUGAUAUGUUUUUGUAAUUUGGAGUCUUGAAGAAUAUCUGUUAAUGUGCUUACUUAUAAUGCAAUAUGGACUAUAUUAUUAUCAGCACCUUAUAAACAUCUUCUAAAACACUUUUCUUGCAACAGAAGUUACCUGCACUAUAGUAGUUGAUGAAAUAUACACAAUCCAAUGGAUUAAAAUGUCUCUAUUCAAAUAACUUUCCCACCUCUUUUCAGUAUUCUCGGGCCUGUUCCUAAGUUCAGCAAACACUUUCCUUCAUCAAGGAAGACUGAAAACUAUAUGUAAAAACUCUUGAGCCAUUGAACUCUUAGCAAUGAAUUAAAAUCACAUGAAUUGAAUUCUUUCCUGGGCAAGACAAUAACCACCAGUCUUUACUGGAUUGAUUGGCUCAUCCACUGUACUGUUAACACUGUGAAGCCCAUAGUCUUAUGGCUAGAUUUCCUUAAAUUAUAUUUCAGUUCUUUUUGACGUAGGAUGAAAAAUGAAAGGCAGAGUAUUCCCCUAUCCUCUAUUGCUCACAGCGUUCUGUAUAACCUUGAUUGUCAUUACAAAUACAAUGCAGAUUUUAAUAUCUUCAUUUUGUAAAAUAGAACUUCUAAAUAUGAUACAAAAAUGUAACAACCUGACCAGCACUUGCAAUCCUUGAAUCCUUUUGUAGAGCAGAUAAAAGUGUAAAUGUAAUGCUGUUUUCAGUCAAGAACUGCCUAGUCUGCUGGAGACGUUUAUGGAGCUCACACUGUCACAAGCUGUCCUUCAUCCUUUCAGGAGAAAGGAGAGCUCCUACACAGAUUGUCUGAAGGGCAUUUAAUUAAUUAAGAAAGUGAAAAAUGUGAAGAUUUCUCUAGCCUGUGAUGUUUCAUGUUGUAUAAUCUGGUUAUCCCUGAAUCAUGAAAUUUCGUCCACUCUUUUAAGAUACAAUAUUGGUACUUCAGUAAAAUUUGACUGUUCUUCAUUAAAAAUAAAAAUAAUUCCAAGUUUGUUUCAGUUAAUGGAAAUGAGUUCACACUUUUUAAGCUACAGUCCAAGAUCAAAGUUCAAGGAAAUGAAGGGAUGUCAAUCAUCCAUUCCCCUGCUGCUGCUUGCUUGCAACUUGUGUCAAUGAGACCUUUUAAAGUAACUUCUGUGUCUGGAAAAUGGCUGAUGGAUCCACAGACUAUCCUUACUGUAUAUACAUACCUUACAUUUAUCACAGAAAUUGUACAAGUGUUUUCUGCUCAUGGCAUGAAAAAAUAGGAACAUGGAGAGUAGUUCUUUAAUUGCAGUAAAACUUGUACUUGCUUAGUGGGCUUGGCUAUGCUGUGAAUUAGUUAUUUCUCUUCUGCAAAUUUCAAAUAAUUAAGAUACAUAAAAUACCCCUUAAAUAAUAUAAGGAUCUCAGCGUAAAUGUAUAUGUAAAUAUAUAUGAAGUUCAAACAACAUGCAUUCACAGCAAAUGACUUUGUUCAUCUUACCUUUACGAUGUGCAAGAUUUGUGGAGAGACUGCAGGAGUGGCUGAGGGAAAAGGACAUUUUUUCUGCAAACAAAUGAAGCAACAAACAAAUGAAGUUUAAUAAUGAAGCAGAAAUGAAUUUUGUAAAGGAAGCUGGAAACGUGGAGUGUGGACCUUGCAAAGCAAUUCUAGGAGACCAUGGGAUUGAAUUAACUCCAUGAGGCACUGGCUGGAGGGGACUUUGGCAGAAUCACUGGGGAAUUCCAUGUAAUUAAAGAAGAAAAGAUCUAUAACAUGUUUUGAAUGAACUUUUAACUGUGAUAUGUAAACUCUAAACUCUUUACCUCACCCUAGGGCUUGCCUCAUUUACAGAUUCAGUAAGGGCGCCCUCUGUUCUAUUGUUCAAAUUCUAAGUUCUUUGAUAGCUUGUGUACAUGUUUUCAGACAUGUUUUGUCUAAACUAUGGUUUUAGCUACACCACCAUUUCCUAACUCACCUUUACUAAAGCUGUCUAAAAUGUUGCUAGAUUCUAGCAAAAGGCAAAAUAAAUGACAUCCACUGCCCCUCCAAGACCACGCACAUGCCCAUGAGUUCUAUCAUAGAUGAAAACGAAGUUAAUGUGACCAGCUUUUACCUUGGCAGCCCAGCUUGGCGUUUGCUCACAUACUGCACACCUUUCAAGAGCUUUUUUAUUUCAGAGGCAUGGCUAAUCCAUUAUUUUUGGCAUCUCCUCAGUACUAUGUUCUGUUUUCAAGAGCUUAUGGCUCUUGAUUAUGCCCAUGUGGCUCCGGGCAGCCUGCUCACAGCACAGAGGUUGAAACUAGAUGAUCAUUAUGGUCCUUUUCCACCCAGGCCAUUCUAUGAUUCACUUUUCUCCUGGUUUUUGUUUUCAUUGAAAUAUCACUCAUUCUCUAUUUGCAAGUGCCCCAUGUUCACCAGAGUAAAUCCUUUAGACCUAGUGGACUGAAACCAUCUUCUUUGUAUUUUUUUACUUCCUCUUUUUGAAUUCUUAUUUAAACAUUUAUUCUUCUAUCACUGAUUUUAAUUGUCAUAAGCAACAUUAAUUAUUAGCUUUUUCUCCUAAAGGCUGACUGAAAUGAAUUUUAGAUCAGAUUGGCUGUUCAGAAGAGAACGUUUGUGGUUUUUUGUUUGUUUCUGUGUAUCAGUGACUCAGAACAGCUUAACUGCAAAUGUGAGAAAUUGCUGUGGAAGAGCAGCAUUUAUUGCAGGACACUAAAUGACUGCCCUCAAGUGGCAAAAUGAGAGCAGUACCACUCGCUAUAUUUCUGUACGUCUGUAUGUAGAAAAAAGCCCAAGGAUUUAAACUGAAAUAUUAUUCAGGGAUUGAUACCUCAGCUUCCUUUUUGAAAGUAAGGGGUAGGCCUGCAUUUCUGAACGGCUGGGUUCCAUGCAAAAGCUGAUGCUUCUCACAUAGGCAGUGUUUAUUUUCUUGAUAUGUUUUUUUUCUGUGCAAUUUUGGUUCCUUUGGUUUAUCAAGUUAAUUUUAAAAUUCUCAUUUACUUCAGCGAUUAAGAACUGUGCAAUCCUUCUAAUGUUGAUUAAGAAAGAAGUCUUAAGAAUAUUAAUGUUUGACUUUGGAUAUUCCUACAUUCUCUUUAUUGUCACUGGAAAUUUGGAGUGAGUAGCCAACAGUCAAUUUUUUUUUCUCAUUUUUUGCUAUAUCUUCUACAAUAACAAAGGCUUUAUACUACUGAAGAAAAAUAAUUUUCUCAUUGUAGCGGCACUUCAUGCUCUGUUCUUAGAACUUCAUUCAGGCAGGUUUGAAGCACUGAAAAGCAGGCAAACAAAAAAUGUACCCCGCUUUAUCUUCCUCAUCCUCUCGUUCUGGAGCUGCUGUGAUGCAAAGUCAAACUAUAAUCUAGCAUUAAUAGCAAAGUGAAUAGAAAAUUCAGGCAAGGCAUAUUGAAAAGCUGGAGUUUAUGCUGGUGAUGAGCAGCCUGUGCAGUUUGGUAAUUGUGGUAAUGACACAGUGCAUCCUUUGAGUGCAGAUAUAAAUAAAACAUACUGUUAGGGAACUUAACUUCUAAUUGCCUUUCUUUUUGUCAUUAGGAUUCAGGUGUGUUAUCUGUUUGAGGGGGGGAGGGAGGCUGGGAAGUGAAUCAAGUUUCCUAUCGUCAAUUCUUGCUUAUCUGCCUGGGGCCCUGGGCAGCCUGGUCUAGAAUUAAAUGUGCAGGUUGGUGGCCCUGCCUGUGGCAGGGGGGUUGGAGCCUGAUGAUCCUUGAGGUCCCUUUCAACCCAAGCCAUUCUAUGAUUCUGUGAUUAGGACGAGAACUUAAUAUUCUUCCUUUAAAGAAAGUAUGGAACUGAGGUAAUAUUAGGAAACUAUAACCCUAAUAUUAGAAAACUUUCUCUAAUGUGAACAAGUGAGCAAUAUUUUGACUUGAUAUAUAUACACGAGAUGCAUUUUUUCUCUUUCUUCUAUUCAGAUGUCAAGCUACAAUUUGCACUUGCAAAUAAUAUUUUCUAGUAACUAGAGUUUUCACUUAUAGUUCCAUAACCCAAGCAUACAUAUACUAUUCAGCUACUGAAAUUACUGUCACUGUCUUAUUUUUCUAGGACAAAGAUGGUUUUGUAUUGUUCCUUUCCGUUCCUCCUUUUGGAAGACUCGUGUUCCCUACUAGACCUUCAGCCACUUCUUGGUCUGGGGCUGCUCCUUCACCCUACCUAGAGGCCUAAGCUGCCUAAAGUUGUUUCACUUGUGGCGAUGGAAGGGGACAUGCCAUGGGGAGGUGAAGCAUGGCCUUAUACUUGUAGUAUCUCAACACAUUAGAUUUAGUACACGCUACACAAUGAUGUCUCUGCGUACUUGAUAUCUACAGACAUUCUAAGGCAGCUUUUAUCACUGAUUAGCAGCAUGCUUGAAAGAAAAUUAUACUGAUACAGGGAAGUGACUAUACACAGCCAGAAAAUGUAAAGUAGCUGAUGUAUGGCAAGUUACCUCCAGGAUCUUCCUAGUUAGCAAAUCAAAGGCAAUAACUGGAAUUUCAGUCCCUAAAAGACCAUUCAAGGUUUGUGUAAAAUUAGACAGGAGAUGUGAAAGUGGAUAGAAAAUUGAUUUAAGGUACCUUACACCACUGUGUACAAGCAAAUUGAUCUACAGUUAAUUUUAUCUUUUGAAGAUAGUAUAUUCUGCAUCCUAGAUAAAUCUACUUGGAUGCUAAAGAUCUAGUUAUAAAGAGGCAUGAAUGACAAAAAAUGGAAUUCAUAAUUUUUUGGAGACCUCUAAAAAUUAGUCAAACAGGCCUUCGUAAUGAGUAAUAUUAUUAUUAAUCACAUCAACAAGUAAUAUUAAUAGCUAUAUACUGAUUUGGACUGUAAAGCUUUGUCUUCUAUCUGAACAUCAAAAAAAUCUGAUAAUCCUCAUUUCCAUCCCUUACAAGGCAUGAAAUGUCCUCUUGAGAAGUCAGAUAGGCGUUGUCCAUUCCAGAUGAUGACAAGCAUAGUUUUGUGACAGAAAUUCUACGUAUGGGAAUGAAACAGAAGAAAUACAUUUUUUUUUCUGCCAUUCUGAAAUGAAAUAGAAAUUCUGAAAUGAAAUAGAAAGGGGGAAAUAAAAUGAAGGAAUGAGUCUUCAGAAUCUUAGAAUUAUUGAAGUAGUGUUGGUAGAGAUAGACUCAUUUGUAAGCCCCUACUGGGGAAAUUCAAUAUCAGUGAUGCAAGCAAUUUUUCCUAAUGCUAAUUAUUGCUUAGUUGUUUUGAGUGCUUGUACAUUUGUCUAUGUAUCAUUAUAAAAACUAGGAUGCUGUAAUGGUGAAAUGUAGGCUGUGGUCUGACUUGACUACAUGGGCUGUAAAAGUUAGGAUGAUCUAACCAUGAAGUAACAAUUCCCAAAGAGUCUUCUUUUAUUAUCAGAUCUUAAAAAGGAACAGAAAGUCAAAAUGAAGUGUAGUGAAUCUAACUGGCUUUCUCUAAAUUGUCUAGAGACAAUCAGUGUGCGUGAAAUUUGAUAUAUGUGGAAAAUGAUAUCUUUAUAAAGAAGUUGGAGAUGCAUUUAAAUGUCUGUAUCAUUUUCUUAAAACAGUGCGUUCAGAAACACACCGGGCCAAAUCCAUUUGCCUUUCUCUCAGGAGAAUUUCAAUUACAUUCAGUGAAACUAAGUGCAAAAAUAAACUGAACAAUCUGUGGCCUAAUAUAUCUUCCUACUGGCACCAAAAUGUAAACAGAAAAGCUUUUAGACUUUUUUUUAACUUGCAUUUCCUGACUUUGGACUUUCAACUUCAUUUCUGCAUGUCCAUGCUGAAUUAAUUACAGCCUAUUUCAUGAUAUAUCCUUGGAAAGAAAGAAUAUAAAACAUUAAUAAGCUUCUAACGUACCCAUGUGGGAAAGUACCUCUAUGUACACCACAAUGCAGCAUCAGUCUGCUGCAUCUAUUUCUGUAUGCUGGAUGAAAAAGAGUACUAUUUACUGAGUCACGAUGAGCAUACUCUGACAAACUUUCUUUCUUAAACUCAAAAAAACUGAUAAAGAUUAAUACAUUACAGAAAACGUCUUGCUGAAAAGUAAGCUGUAACCAUACAAAUUUCUGUGCAUUAUUCAGGAAUGUAAAUAAUAUGAUGUGUUGAAAUGAUGCAGUAAUCUCAAAUAAUGCUUCUUUUCUGAAACUCUAAAGAGUUGAAGGAAUUCAAGUAAACUUGAAAAAAAAAAACAACCCACAAAACAAGGCAAAAGCUCUGAUAGACUUUAUGACACCAAGCAGUGUGGUGAGGCCAACACUAUGCGGCCCAAGGAAUGGGAUGCCAUCUAGAGGGACCCAGACAGGCUCAAGCAGUAGGCCCAGGAGACCAUCAUGAGGCUGAACAAAUCCAAGUGCUAAGUCUUGCACCUGAGUUGUGGCAACCCACACUGUCAAUAUAAGGACACUGGAGGAUGUAAGGGUAAAGCAGAGCCCUGCCAAAAGGAUUUGGGGAUAUUUGGAUGGCAAGCUGGAUAUGAACUAGCAGUGUGUCCUUGCAGCCCAGAAAGCCAACCAUAUCCUGGGCUGCACCAAAAGAAGCAUAGUCAGCAGUGUGAGGGAGGUGAUCCUGCCCCUCUACCACCUGGGCCUGGUGAGGCCUUGCCUGGAGUACUGUGUCCAGAUGUGGAGUCCUCAGUACAGGAGUGACAUGGACCUGUUGGAGCAAGUCCAGAGGAGGGCCACAAAAAUGAUCCAAGGGAUGGAACACCUCUCCUAAAAGGACAGACAGAGAGAGUUGGAGCUGUUCAGCCUGGAGAAGGCUCCAGGGAGACCUGAGAGAGGCCUUAUAGUAUCGAAUGGGGGACUAUAAGACAGACUCUAUGAGGAUCUGUUGCGACAGGACAAGGGGAAAUGGUUUUAAACUGAAUGAGGGGAGAUUUAGGUUAGAUAUAAGGAAAAAGUUUUUUACAAUAGGGUUAGUGAAACACUAGAACAGAUUGCUUAGGGAGGUGGUGGGUGCCCCGCCCUUGGAGACAUUCAAGGUUAGGCAGCACCAACCUCUGUGCAACCUGAUCUAUCUGCAGAUGUCCCUCUUCAUUGCAUUGGAGUUGAACUAGAUGACCUCUAAAGGUUCCUUCCAACACAGACUAUUCUGUGAUUCCACAGGAGUAGAAGGGUACACAUGGAUUCUGUAUGGGAAUUGCUAGGUCACAGCCUGGCCAAUGGUGGAGCACCAGAGGAGAAGGUGUGGCUAACCCAGGGAGCACAGGCACCAACCCUGGGUUCACUCUUCCUCAGCUUCAUUUAAGAGUUAGCAAGCAGAGAGAGCAGUGUCUUUAUUUGGAGACUGUGCCCUUUUUGAGACUCCAUGAGCCUUUGGAAAGGGUGAACUACCUUUUUUUUUUUUUUUUGUGUCACUUUCUAAACUAAGUCUUGCUGUAUGCCUUUAUAAGCAUGUUCUUCCCCUAGUAGAAGACACUGUCAUCGCCCUCUAUUGCUACACAGAUU